rnacentral:rRNA from 1 species
GAUGAACGCUGGCGGCGUGCUUAACACAUGCAAGUCGAACGGAAAGGCCUGUACUUGUACAGGUACUCGAGUGGCGAACGGGUGAGUAACAAGUGGGUGAUCUGCCCUGCACUGUGGGAUAAGCCCGGGCAACUGGGUCUAAUAACAAAUAGGACCACUUCUUGGAUGUUGUGGUGGAAAGCUUUUGCGGUGUGGGAUGAGCUUGCGGCCUAUCAGCUUGUUGGUGGGGUAAUGGCCUACCAAGGCGGCGACGGGUAUCCGGCCUGAGAGGGUGUACGGACACAUUGGGACUGAGAUACGGCCCAGACUCCUACGGGAGGCAGCAGUGGGGAAUAUUGCACAAUGGGCGCAAGCCUGAUGCAGCGACGCCGCGUGGGGGAUGACGGCCUUCGGGUUGUAAACUCCUUUCGCUAUCGACGAAGCCACCUUGGGUGGUGACGGUAGGUAGAUAAGAAGCACCGGCUAACUACGUGCCAGCAGCCGCCGUAA